GUGAAUCAUCAAAUCUUUGAACGCAAAUUGCACUUUCUUCGGAGAGUAUGCCUGUUUGAGGGUCAGCCUAAAAAAAAUCGACAUAGUCGCUGUUUCGCGGUGACAUUCGUCGGAAAUUGGGUCAUCUUAAACCUUUGGGUUUUUUAAGCGGCUUAAAAUUUUCUUUACGAUUCCACGAACGUUUCUAAGAUUUUACUUCUACACCAGUUUAAGGUUACGAAUUUUAUUAAAAGUGGCCGUUUG
rnacentral:misc_RNA from 1 species